UAGAAGCUGUACCGAAAGGAGCAGUGGAGUGAUAGGAAGAGAGAAUGCCGGAAUGAGUAGCGAGAAAGAAGUGAGAAUCUUCUUGGCCGAAUAUCCAAGGUUUCCAGAGUAAAGCUGAUCUGCUCUGGGUAAGUCGGGACCUAAGGUGAGGGCGAAAGCCGUAGCCGAUGGACAACAGGUUGAGAUUCCUGUACUGCUGAUAAACAGAACUGUGGGGACGCAGGAGGAUAGGCAGACCGGGGAAUGGAAAGACCCGGUUAAGCACAAAGCCGAGCCUGACAGGCAAACCCGUCAGGUGAUGGUGAAGUGUGAUAAGGACCGAAAAAAAAGUAGGGAAGCUGCCGAAUCCACACUGCCGAGAAAAGCCGCUAUAGAUUUAUCAGUACCCGUACCGUAAACCGACACAGGUGGAUGAGGAGAGAAUCCUAAGGCCGACGGGAGAAGCGUUGUUAAGGAACUCGGCAAAAUGACCCCGUAACUUCGGGAGAAGGGGUGCCUGCUGAAAGGCAGGCCGCAGAGAAUAGGCCCAAGCGACUGUUUAGCAAAAACACAGGUCUCUGCUAAACCGAAAGGUGAAGUAUAGGGGCUGACGCCUGCCCGGUGCUGGAAGGUUAAGGGGAGAGGUUAGGGAAACCGAAGCUUUGAACUUAAGCCCCAGUAAACGGCGGCCGUAACUAUAACGGUCCUAAGGUAGCGAAAUUCCUUGUCGGGUAAGUUCCGACCCGCACGAAAGGCGUAACGAUUUGGGCACUGUCUCGACAACGCGCCCGGUGAAAUUGUAGUACCGGUGAAGAUGCCGGUUACCCGCGACAGGACGGAAAGACCCCGUGGAGCUUUACUGCAGCUUGAUACUGGAAUUCGGUAUUGCAUGUACAGGAUAGGAGGGAGACUAAGAAGCCAGGACGCCAGUCUUGGUGGAGUCGCCGGUGGGAUACCUCUCUUGUGAUACUGGAUUUCUAACCUGAAUCUGUGAACCAGAUUAGGGACAAUGUCAGGCGGGCAGUUUGACUGGGGCGGUCGCCUCCGAAAGAGUAACGGAGGCGCUCAAAGGUAACCUCAGAAUGGUUGGAAACCAUUCGCAGAGUGCAAAGGCAGAAGGUUGCUUAACUGCGACAGCGACGGCUGGAGCAGAUACGAAAGUAGGACUUAGUGAUCCGGUGGUAAGAAAGUGGGAUUGCCAUCGCUCAACGGAUAAAAGCUACCCCGGGGAUAACAGGCUUAUCUCCCCCAAGAGUUCACAUCGACGGGGAGGUUUGGCACCUCGAUGUCGGCUCAUCGCAUCCUGGAGCUGUAGCAGGUUCCAAGGGUUGGGCUGUUCGCCCAUUAAAGCGGUACGCGAGCUGGGUUCAGAACGUCGUGAGACAGUUCGGUCCCUAUCCGUCGUGGGCGCAGGAAAUUUGAGAGGAGCUGUCCUUAGUACGAGAGGACCGGGAUGGACGAACCUCUGGUGAAUCUGUUGUACUACCAAGUGCACAGCAGAGUAGCCAAGUUUGGAAGGGAUAAACGCUGAAGGCAUCUAAGUGUGAAGCCCACCUCAAGAUAAGAUUUCCCAUAGC
rnacentral:rRNA from 1 species